GAGAAACUGCAGACAGGGUUCCAGACAACAGCAAUUAAGCAAAAAUCACAAUGAAGCCAGCCACGUGAAAUUUUUGGUUUCCCAGGGCAUAUAAAAGUUAU